GAUGAACGCUGGCGGCGUGCCUAAUACAUGCAAGUCGAGCGAAGCGGGGACGGGGGAGUAACACGUGGAUAACCCCGUUUAAGACCGGGAUAAAUUCGGGAAACCCGAGCUAAACCGGCUACUUAUAGAUGGAUCAGCGAUGCAUUAGCUAGUUGGUAAGGUAACGGCUUACCAAGGCAACGAUGCAUAGCCGACCUGAGAGGGUGAGCGGCCACACUGGGACUGAGACACGGUCCAGACUCCUACGGUAGGCAGCAGUAGGGAAUCUUCCGCAAUGGGCGAAAGCCGGACGGAGCAACGCCGCGUGAGUGAUGAAGGUCUUCGGAUCGUAAAACUCUGUUAUUAGGGAAGCGGUACCUAAUCAGAAAGCCACGGCUAACUACGUGCCAGCAGCCGCGGUAAUAC
rnacentral:rRNA from 1 species